AAAAAAAAGCCAACACCUCGGACUGCUUCCUAAGACGCAGUGUCCGUGCAGCAGGAAUAGCGGCCUCUCGCGGCUGCUUCCUGGAUGUGCAUGCGAGGGCGUGAGGAGCACAACCCUCCUCAGCGGCUGACGUCACGCGGCAGCGGCUGUCAGAGGGGGCGUGGCCUUGUUCUGCUGCAGCAGAGAAAUAUGACAUGGGGAUGAGCGAAAGAGAGAGGGAGAGAGUGAGACAGCCUGAUAGGAAUUAACGGUUCGUCAGAGGUCUGGACUGGAAACCUUAGGAUGGGGAGUAAUGACUGAAAACAGAACGAAUCGACAAGGACAUGCACGGUAAAGUGGAGAUCGCAACUGCUGCCAUACCGGAGUGACCCUGCUCGCACUGCAAGAUGUGGAGGAGGAGCACAACAAUCUAAUGUAUAUGCUCUGGGCAACGUGACUGGAGACUUGGCUCUUUGCAUCAGGAGAGUGCCUUUUUUGAAACUAUGCUGCCUGUUACAUUGUGGAACUUUUUACAGCUCAAUCCUCUGCAUUUUUCCACAUUCUGUCUGAAACUUUUUAAUCUUUUUUAGUUAUUUACUACCGGUAUAUCAUGUCACACUUAGCUUAUUGGUGUUCCUAGUUACUGUUGUAUCUACACGUUAUUUAAGGCACUCUGUUACAAAUGGUUGAUGCAUGUUCUGCUUUAUUACAUUUAAAUAUAUAUAUUUAUAUUCAAAAGGUGACAAUGGAGAGAAAUUAAAUAUUUUUAUGGUUGCUCUGAUUUUAGACUGCAUUUUAGGUGUCUGAGUGGCAUUUCGUAGAACAAGUUCUGACAGCACCUUUUUCACUGUUCACUGCUGGCGUUCUCUGUUAAAAUCCUGCCUGGGGAAAAUAAAGUUUUAUUUUUGCCCCUCACCUGAAUGUGCCCUCUGACUUGAGGAGGGAGAACAUGGUGACAGCAACAAUUUUUUUAUAUUUUUUUUAUUCCAUCCGGUCCUGUUUUGCAGUUGUUACAAGACAGAGGUUUAUGUUAGCACUGAAACUGUACAGUGACCAAAUGAAGAGUAUGUUAAGAUUCAAAUAACCAACAUUUUUUUUCCUCAGCUUUGCAGAUCUCUUCCACUUAGAAUCCACUAGAUGGCACCACAAACACAUGUCAUUGAAAUCAUAAAAAA